AUGCAGCUGACGAGUCCCGAAUAGGACGAAACGCGCGUGCUGGAU
rnacentral:hammerhead_ribozyme from 1 species